rnacentral:rRNA from 1 species
UACGGAGGGUGCGAGCGUUGUCCGGAAUCAUUGGGCGUAAAGGGCGCGUAGGUGGCCCGGUCAGCGUGCGGUGAAAGCUCGGGGCUCAACCCCGAGUCGGCCGUGCGAACUGCUGGGCUUGAGCACUGUAGAGGCAGGCGGAAUUCCGGGUGUAGCGGUGGAAUGCGUAGAGAUCCGGAAGAACACCGGUGGCGAAGGCGGCCUGCUGGGCAGUGGCUGACACUGAGGCGCGACAGCUAGGGGAGCAAACCGG